rnacentral:rRNA from 1 species
CAGCCGUAAACUAUGCUCGCUAGGUGUCAGGCAUGGCGCGACCGUGUCUGGUGCCGCAGGGAAGCCGUGAAGCGAGCCACCUGGGAAGUACGGCCGCAAGGCUGAAACUUAAAGGAAUUGGCGGGGGAGCACAACAACGGGUGGAGCCUGCGGUUUAAUUGGACUCAACGCCGGACAACUCACCGGGGACGACAGCAAUAUGUAGGCUAGGCUGAAGACCUUGCCUGAAUCGCUGAGAGGAGGUGCAUGGCGUAGACGUCU